rnacentral:rRNA from 1 species
UAUUGCACAAUGGGGGAAACCCUGAUGCAGCGACGCCGCGUGAAGGAAGAAGUAUUUCGGUAUGUAAACUUCUAUCAGCAGGGAAGAANAAAGACGGUACCUGACUAAGAAGUCCCGGCUAACUACGUGCCAGCAGCCGCGGUAAUACGUAGGGGGCAAGCGUUAUCCGGAUUUACUGGGUGUAAAGGGAGCGUAGGUGGCAGGGCAAGUCAGAUGUGAAAACCCGGGGCUCAACCCCGGGAGUGCAUUUGAAACUGUCCAGCUGGAGUGCAGGAGAGGUAAGCGGAAUUCCUAGUGUAGCGGUGAAAUGCAUAGAUAUUAGGAGGAACACCAGUGGCGAAGGCGGCUUACUGGACUGUAACUGACACUGAGGCUCGAAAGCGUGGGGAGCAAACAGG